rnacentral:rRNA from 1 species
AAACUCUGUCCUUGGUGAAGAAAGAAAUGACGGUAGCCAAGGAGGAAGCCCCGGCUAACUACGUGCCAGCAGCCGCGGUAAUACGUAGGGGGCGAGCGUUGUCCGGAUUUACUGGGCGUAAAGGGUGAGUAGGCGGUAAUAUGUGUCAGGUGUAAAAGGCUAUGGCUUAACCAUAGUUAGCAUUUGAAACUGUAUUACUUGAGUGCAGGAGAGGUAAGUGGAAUUCCUAGUGUAGCGGUGAAAUGCGUAGAUAUUAGGAGGAACACCAGUGGCGAAGGCGACUUACUGGACUGUAACUGACGCUGAGUCACGAAAGCGUGGGUAGCAAACAGGAUUAGAUACCCUGGUAGUCCACGCUGUAAACGAUGAGUGCUAGGUGUUGGGUAGCGAUAUUCAGUGCCGAAGUUAACACAAUAAGCACUCCGCCUGGGGAGUACGGUCGCAAGACUGAAACUCAAAGGAAUUGACGG